GGGUCGAUGCCCGAGUGGUUAAAGGGGACGGAUUGUAAAUCCGUUGGUAUAUGCCUACGCUGGUUCAAAUCCAGCUCGGCCCA
rnacentral:tRNA from 1 species